GUCCGCCUCACCGCGUGCACUGGUCCGGCCGGGCCUUUCCUCCUGGGGAGCCGCAUGCCCUUCACUGGGUGUGUCGGGGAACCAGGACUUUUACUUUGAAAGAAUUAGAGUGUUCAAAGCAGGCCUAUGCUCGAAUACAUUAGCAUGGAAUAAUAGAAUAGGACGUGUGGUUCUAUUUUGUUGGUUUCUAGGACCGCCGUAAUGAUUAAUAGGGAUAGUCGGGGGCAUCAGUAUUCAAUUGU
rnacentral:rRNA from 1 species